GACGAACGCUGGCGGCGUGCUUAACACAUGCAAGUCGAACGGAAAGGCCCUGCUUUUGUGGGGUGCUCGAGUGGCGAACGGGUGAGUAACACGUGAGUAACCUGCCCUUGACUUUGGGAUAACUUCAGGAAACUUGGGCUAAUACCGGAUAGGAUCUCCUGCUGCAUGGUGGGGGUUGGAAAGUUUCGGCGGUUGGGGAUGGACUCGCGGCUUAUCCGCUUGUUGGUUGGGUAGUGGCUUACCAAGGAUUUGACGGGUAGCCGGACUGUGAGGGUGACCGGAAACAUGGGGAGUGAGAUACGGCCCAGACUCAUAAGGGAGGAAGGAGUGGGGAAUAUUGAACAAAGGGCGGAAGCCGGAAGCAGCAACGACGCGUGCGGGAUGACGGCCUUCGGGUUGUAAACAGAUUUCGCCUGUGACGAAGCGUGAGUGACGGUAAUGGGUAAAGAAGCACCGGCUAACUACGU
rnacentral:rRNA from 1 species